GGACUUAGGCUAAUUUAAACCAAGGGCCUUCAAAGCCCUAAAUAAGAGACAUUCUCUUAGCCCCUGA
rnacentral:tRNA from 1 species